GGUCCCCAGGUCCUGCUGACUCCAUGUGGCUCCUUAUACCCAAGGAUGGCCAGGAGCUUCUGAUGCACAGGGCUGAAGCCAGAACCAGUAGAAAGAAGUGACCAGACCCUUCAAGAGAACACGGCAGAAGCAGGGUGGCCACGGCUGAUGGCAAAGGUAACUCUGGGCAGAGAGAGCUCAUGGUUCAGGGCCAGGCCAAACGCAGGACCCAUGGGAGGAUGUGCCACCCCAAAGAGGGGAAGACCAAGGAUGGCAAGGGCAGCUUCAGGGUGAAAAGCAUAGCAGAAUUAAGUAUGGCUGACACAGCCAUCAAUGACACAGUCCCAGCCAGUGCCGUGCACUCAGGGCAACUGGGAAUUAGCAACCAAAGUAGGCAGUGCACCCAGUCUCCUUCCAUGCAUGGCUGGGCCCAGCCGUCAAAGCUGGGCUAUUGAUUGGGAAGGAAGUUGGCCCUGGAAAUUGGGAUGGAGGUUGUGGGCAGGUAGGAAAGCUGGGGGGCCUCAAACCCCUUUGUUGCACUGGCUGUUUUGCCAGAAAAGCCCCCUUUGGUCCCUGCCUGAAGAGGUCAGUCCUUCUUUACCUAAAGGACCUGGAAGGGCUUCCCCUGGGUCAGGGUCCAUGUGGGAUACUCAGGACCAGCUCCCCCACCUCACAGCUUGCCUUAUAACUAAACUCAGGCCCCAGGAGGCCCCAAAGGGUGAGGUACAAAGUGUGGCCCGUGAUGAAGUGGCAGUGCUCCAGAAGACCCUCAUGCAGACAGAAAUCUGGAGAACACGUGUGGGAUCCAGGUGGCAGGAAUAUGAGAUGCAUGAGGCCAAACCCAUUGAAACAGGGCCACUAACAGAGGGUCUGGACUCACUGCAGCCUGAGGAGUUAGAAAGGACCCCAGGGUUUGGUUGCUUGGUUGAAACAUGGACCACAAGGCAGGUUUGCUAAGUGCAGUUGAAAUGCCAGAACAACCUCCGUGUACUGCAGAGGGAAUGACCUGAGGGCUCAGGGGGAUUGGGGUGCUCUAGGGCACUUACCACUGAGACCUGCUCACCCUCCACAAGAGGGGCUGGAGCAUGUGCCUUUCCCCAUGUCUUGGAGGAAUACAUCCACAAGGGGAGCCCAGCGUCCUUGAAGAGCUCUGUGGUCUCUCUUCUCUGCAGGUCAGUUGGAGCCACUGCCACAGAGCAAGGAUCUCUAAAUGCAGUGGAGUCCGUGGAUCUCAGAGUGGCAAGGCCUAGUGGUGGCACUUCAUGACCCAAGACAUGGUAGGUGUGGUUGUGUGGUGGGCAGCGGGACCACUGCAGCCACCAGCAGCCAGACUCACAGAGGUGCAGGUGUGGGCUGGUGGCCUUGGGGCCCUGGAAGUGGAGCUGAUGGGAAGCCUACUCAAAUCUGGCUUGGUCUGCUUGAGCGGAAGCGUUCUGGAUCUAGCAGACAGAUGUCUGACCCAGGCCACCAAAACAGAGGCACAGCCCCUCCAUCACAGACCCAGGCCUUGUGAGGAAAGAUCGCACUGCACUGCUGACCACGUAUACUUCGGAUCUUCUGCCCAGCCUCCCCAGUGACCUACGGCUACUCCCGAGGGGACGGCACACUGUUGGAGCUCACUGACAGCCCUGCCUGGGGACUGGCUUACCCACAUGGGCCCUGUUGGACAGAGGUGCUGUCCUCUGGCACCUUUGGGAGGGACCACGCUGGCCCCAGAGUGUCCUGUGGCCAGGCUACCAGAUGUUGGGGGACCCAUCUAGAGGGAUCUCCACAUCAUGAAUAUCCGAAGGAGAGGCUCUGUUUAGGCUGCAGGCACUUGAACCUCACCAGACAUGAGGGGAACUGCCGAGUGAGCCACAUUCGGGGUGCUCCUCACAAGGAGGCUGUCAGGUCAGAGACCAUGGAGGUUGGCUGAGCCACAGCCCUGCCAUGACUCCCACAUACCAAGGACGUUCUAGAACAGCAGCCGUGGGCUGCUCAGUGCUGCUGCUCACCUCCCUUCUCUUUCUCUCUGCAAGAAGCACCCAUCUGGUGACAUGACC
rnacentral:lncRNA from 1 species